ensembl:lncRNA
GUCUUUGGUAGGCUAGUUGGUUACCAAGUUGGUGUGUCCAUUAAACUGUUCUGUCUUUGGUAGGCUAGUUGGUUACCAAGUUGGUGUGUCCAUUAAACUGUUCUGUCUUUGGUAGGCUAGGUGGUUACCAGGUUGGUGUGUCCAUUAAACUGUUCUGUCUUUGGUAGGCUAGGUGGUUACCAAGUUUGUGUGUCCAUCAGAAUCUCUUGACUUGUUCAACACAAUGAUGAGGGGGAUGGUUAGCAUCUCUUGUCUUGAUACAUUUAAAAAAAAUAUUUAAAACAUCCAAUAUACUUGCAGUGAAG